UCCAACACUGCCAGUUAUUCUGAGAAUCAUGAGCAUGGGGAUCAGAAUGCGGAUUGCCCUGCCAUAGUUUUCUGACCAAAGUCCUCUCCAGGGCUUGGGGCAGGAUUAUGAGGUUGUCAGCUGCUAUGAACUGCUGUACUUUGUUGAUGGAGGUAUUGGGUAGCUUCUGGAUGAAGACAUUGCCCUCAGGUUAAAGGCCUACCUUUUCUCAAUCCCCUUGCUACCAGAAUAGUCAUAUGACUACAUACCAGUCAAUGGAAUAUGGAUGGAGUAAUGGACCCCCAAAUUGUAUCCUGAGAAGAAAGGGAGCAGCCUCUACAUUCCCUGCCCUUUCCCCGCUCAUCUGAACGUAAGGCAGAGACUUGGCAAUCCACAUUUGACCUUGCCGACCCCCACAGACCUACAGUAGAGCAGCAAGGUGGAAGGACCCCAGAACCUGACAUCAGACAGCUGCCAGGCCAACCCUAGACUGUUCCCCUCCAGAUUGUUAUAUGAGGAAGAAAUUAGAUUCUCUCUCGCUUAAGCCAUGAUCAUCUGAUUCCCUGCAAUAGCAGUCAACCUGUAACCCAAUAGAAUCUGGAAUUACCAUA
rnacentral:sRNA from 1 species